GAUGAACGCUGGCGGCGUGCCUAAUACAUGCAAGUCGAGCGAACGGACGCGAAGCUUGCUUUUCUGAUGUUAGCGGCGGACGGGUGAGUAACACGUGUAUAACCUACCUAUAAGACUGGGAUAACUUCGGGAAACCGGAGCUAAUACCGGAUAAUAUUUUGAACCGCAUGGUUCAAAAGUGAAAGACGGUCUUGCUGUCACUUAUAGAUGGAUCCGCGCUGCAUUAGCUAGUUGGUAAGGUAACGGCUUACCAAGGCAACGAUGCAUAGCCGACCUGAGAGGGUGAUCGGCCACACGGGAACUGAGACACGGUCCAGACUCCUACGGGAGGCAGCAGUAGGGAAUCUUCCGCAAUGGGCGAAAGCCUGACGGAGCAACGCCGCGUGAGUGAUGAAGGUCUUCGGAUCGUAAAACUCUGUUAUUAGGGAAGAACAUAUGUGUAAGUAACUGUGCACAGCUUGACGGUACCUAAUCAGAAAGCCACGGCUAACUACGUG
rnacentral:rRNA from 1 species